GGGUUUCACCAGAAGCAGGUAGUCUAACCGUAAGGAGGGCGCUUGCCACGGUGUGGUCAAUGACUGGGGUGAAGUCGUAACAAGGUAGCCGUAGGUGAACCUGCAGAAGGAUCA
rnacentral:rRNA from 1 species